rnacentral:rRNA from 1 species
UACGAAGGAUGCAAGCGUUAUCCGGAUUCAUUGGGUUUAAAGGGAGCGUAGGUGGCCUUAUAAGUCAGUGGUGAAAUCUCUGGGCUUAACCCAGAAAUUGCCAUUGAUACUGUAGGGCUUGAGUAUAGUUGCCGUUGGCGGAAUAUGACAUGUAGUGGUGAAAUACAUAGAGAUGUCAUAGAACACCGAUUGCGAAGGCAGCUGACGAAACUAUAACUGACACUGAGGCUCGAAAAGUGCGGGGAUCAAACAGG